rnacentral:other from 1 species
AACUACCUGGGAUGCACGAGAACCCUGUUAUUUUGAACCUACAGAACUUUAAACGGGAUUCCUAUAUUUCUGUAAUAUGUCAGGCCACCAUUGUGCAGUGGAAGGCAGAAAAGCAGAUGCGGUCGCCCACCUAGCAUUCGCUAGGAGUCAAAAUACAGGGAACGGCAUUUUGGGGAUUUU